rnacentral:lncRNA from 1 species
CACCAUUGCUGAGUCUGGCUUUGAAUACGGGAGCCUCCUGCCUCAGCCUCCCAAGCCGCUGGGAUUACAGGCAUUUGCCACUGUGCCCAGCUAAGCCUGAGAAUUAUUAUCCUCCCUAUUUUACAGAUGAGAAAACUGAGCCUCAGAGAGGGUAAAUCACCUGCCCCAGAUCUCACAGUAAGAGGCAGAGCCAGGAUGUUUGACAGCACAGCCUGGUCACCGGGUUAGCCUCCUAACCAUUUCUCUUCUGCAGGUUAACAGGAGCUGCCAGGCCACCAUUCCAUCUCAGAACACUGAGAACAAUGCAUGCCCCGCCCCACCCCCCAGAUUCCCAGCAGAUGGGGAUUUCUCCCUAUAUUCUGGAACUCCCCUGCUUAGUCAAUCUAAAUCACAAUGAGAGAGAGAUUCUCAAAAAAAUAACAACGUUUAUUUUAGGACUAGCAGAGUCCUACACUGGGAAUAUGUGUGCUAUAGUAAACCAUGGGCAUGUCCAAAGAGGCUGAGGCAAGGGGAAGUUUUUCAAGGUAAAAUGAGGGGAUUACGGAAGAUAUUCUGAAACACUAAUCCUUGGCCACAAGGCCACUAACAAAAGUGGCACCAUGUCUGAGGUCAAGCAGACAUGUUGCCAGGCAGACAACCUUGCAGAAGUAUUUUUGGGCAAGGCGAUGUCCUUUGUGCAAGUUGGGGUUCUGGCAGAGUCGCCUGUGAUAGCUGCCAUCAGC